UACGAAGGGGGCUAGCGUUGCUCGGAAUGACUGGGCGUAAAGGGCGCGUAGGCGGAUGGCACAGUCAGAUGUGAAAUUCCCGGGCUUAACCUGGGGGCUGCAUUUGAUACGUGUUGUCUAGAGUGAGGAAGAGGGUCGUGGAAUUCCCAGUGUAGAGGUGAAAUUCGUAGAUAUUGGGAAGAACACCAGUGGCGAAGGCGGCUCACUGGCCCGGAACUGACGCUGAGACGCGAAAGCGUGGGGAGCAAACAG
rnacentral:rRNA from 1 species